CUCUUGAGCUCCUUGCUGGAGCCCAAUCCCAGUCUGUGGAGUGUACUUUCAUUUAAAUAAAUCUGUGCGUUCUUUGCUUCAUUCUUUCAUUGCUUGGUUUGUGCAUUUUGUCCAGUUCCUUGUUCAAAAUGCCAAGAACCUGGAUGACUCAUAGUCAAGACCCUCCACCAGUAACAUAUAUUGGCGAGCCAGCCAGGAGCUUGGAACCCUCGGUGGACAGUGCCUAAGCACAGAGGCAACCACAGGUUUCUAACAGGGCCACUCUCUGGUGAAACUGAAAGGUUUCUGUGUGAAAGUGCCUGACCACCACUGCCCAAUUCAGACCACUACAGGAAACACUCCAUUUAUUCCACCUGACUUCCCACUUGGCUGCAUCCUCAACCAUUGAAAUGAAUUUGACCCUGAUAAUCUAAGGAGGAAACAUUUGAUAUUCUUUUGCAAUAAUACUUGGCCCCAGUAUUGUUUGGAAUCUGGAGUUUGCUGUUGAAUGGGAAAGCAGGAUGACGUUGCAUGUAUCCAGGCUUUGGUGCUGCUGUCCUAAGAAGGGUCAGGCCUAGUCAGCAUAUGGUGCUCUCCUUUGGUGCUAUUUGGCUCCAGUGUCUUUGGAGUCUGAGGAGGUUUGGCCUUUAAAAAUCAAACUGCCACCGGAACUGCUUUAAAAAUGUUUGGUUCACAGCCUUCACUGGAUUACCUAUUGGAGCAAACAAAGUGUAACCAUGUAAAACCUGUGAGCUUGUAUUGAUAUCUCAUGGCUAGAGUUCCAAGGUAAAAGCUAUUGGAUCUUCGUUUGUGUGUGUGUAUACAUGUCUAGAUGUGUUUAUUUGUAUGUACACUUAUUGUUAUAUGUUGUGUCAACCAAAUCAGCUUAUAAAUAAAAAAGCACUCAUAAAUUAAAUAAAUAAGUCCAAGCAAUUUUCAAGUUCAUGUGACUUAAGUAAAUCUUCAUUAAAUAGCUGGCUUUAAAAUUAUUGGUAAAAUGAAAAUAGAAAUAUCUUCAGAAUUGUCAGCAUACAUUUUUGUCUGGGUUUUAUAUUUGUCUUUGCUAGAAAUGUUGAAGUGUCAGCAUUUGGCAUAGAAGAUUAUAAAGCUAUUAACCCAGCCAAAACAAAAUGGCCUUAGUUUAUGUGGCUUCUUUGACAAAUGAGACUAAUUUAAUAUUGUUAGCUAAAUCUUCUGGGUUAUUGGCAAAAACACCUAUGUAUUUAACUGUGAGGUUCUUAUUUAGGUGAACACAUAAUGUUCAUUGGCUAUUAAAAAUGGUUAACAAAUAAAUAACUAACUUUAAAUGAUGGUGUCUAAUAUCUCAGUUUUCAGAAGUAAUCUAGAUAAACUGUUAAAAAUGAAAGACUUAAGUACAUGUAAAUGGGAUGAAUGAUUAGGUAAAUUUUGUGUAAUUUAAAAUCUUAAAAGUAUUUUUGAUGCCCAUUGGAUAUCUCAGUCAUUUCCAAUUAAGAAAGGGUUAUGAUAGGGAGGAAUAUGUUUCCAAAAAUUGUGGAAUUAUUCUCAUCUAUAAAAUGCUAAUAUCUGAUAGUUUAGGAUUUUUUGCUUCCUAAGGUUUCACUAAAAUUUAAGGUUACUAAGAUGAUAUGGUUUGGCUUUGCAUCCCCACCCAAAUCUCUUCUUAUAACUCCCAUAAUUACCGUGUGUUGUGGGGAGGGAUCCAGUGGGUGAGAGAUGAUUGAAUUAUGCUGUUCUCAUGAUAGCGAAUGGGUCUCAUGAGAUCUGAUGGUUUUGAAAAUGGGAGUUGCCCUGCACAAGCUCUCCUUUUGCCUGCUGCCAUCCACAUAAGAUGUGAUUUGCUCUUCCUUGCCUUCCACCAUGAUUGUGAGGCCUUCCCAGCAUGUGGAAAUGGUCCAGCCUGCAAUAACUGAAGCCCCCAGACCUGGAACCUGAAGAUCCCAUCAGCCACUAAACCUGUGAACCUGUAGAAGACCUGAAGUACCUGUUUAAAAGGCAGCCAAAAGAUAAGUAAAUUCCUAUCAACUUUCCUUGGUGUCCUUCUUGUAUAUUUACUGUAAGCUGGAUAUAAUAGUAGCCAUUUUUAUAUUUUUACAAUUUAAUUGCUUUCUUCCAAAUGGAUUGAAUCACUUCUUUUAAAGUGUUUUAAUUAAUUUUUAUCUAUAGAACAAAAUAACAAAUAAGUAUUUUUUUUUUAUACCAUAAUGGUCACCCACAGCCUGUGUAUACUAAGACCAUGCAUACUGAUAAUCAGCUUUAUUUUACAAAAGAGUUUCGCUUUACCCCUCUGGUAAUUAAUGGAUUCUGGGUAUUUAUUAAAAACUUUAACACAAAGACUGUUAAAUACCACCAGUCCAGCUUUGGCAAGGCACUGUUGGCUUUGUUUAUCUCCAUCAUCAUCCAAACAGACUACCAAUCCUGAUCCCAGCCCAAUCUUGGGCCCUUGAAAAAAUAACUUAACAUCCUAACUACAAGGGAGAAACUCCUUUCAAAUUAAUGAACCUGGCUGACUUAUAUAGCCUUAAAAUUAUGGAAAUGACAAGGGUUACAAUGUCAGAAUGAGCAGUAAACCUUCCCCAGUCCUAUCAGAGCAAACUUUCUGGGGUUGCAUCCCCUCAGAAACCCAUUUGGGGCCCAAUCUCAAUGCACAUAUCAGUGCGCAAAGCACUAAAAUUCCAGGCAACACUUUGUAUUGAGAGAAGCCAAAAUUUUGGUCCCGCCCUGGGACAUCUAAAGUCACCAAUGUAACUACACCAUACAGAUUAAACCCUCACAUGAUCAUGUAAGCUAUGCAGUUACCCAAGCUGCAUCAUUUAGAAAACCUGUACAGUUUUUAUGGAAACCAUCCCUAGUCAAGGACACUUUAAAUAUAUAGUCUAAAUACCGUUAAGGUAGGCCCACUAGCUGUGUUCACAUUUUCCCUUGGCCACCUUACCAGGGACUUUAAUAACUUGGGAAAGUGAAAACAACAAGCUAACCCACAUGUUCACCAUAGAAAACAAUUUUGUCUUGAAAAACAAGGACUCUUUUUCCCGUGUGGGACCAGUUCCUACUUAUGUUUUACCAGCCAAUUGGACUGGAACCUAUACAGUUGUUUAUUUAGCCCCCGAAAUUAAUAUAGCUCCCAACAACCAAUCCUUCAUUAUACUUUUAACUGCAACCACCAGACACAAAUGAGCCAUCCAACUGAUACCACUUUCGGUAGAGCUAGGAAUAACAGCAGGAGUAGGAAUGAGAGUUAGCAGCCUUGCAGUUUCCCUAUCCUAUUACCAAUGCUUGUCCAAGGAUUUUAUGGAAAGCUUAGGUGACAUUGCCCAAAAGUAUCAUCACCUUACAAAAUCAGAUAGAGUCUUUGGCAGUGGUGGCUUUGUAAAAUAGAAGGGGACUGGAUCUCCUAAAUGCUGAAGAAGGUGGCUUAUGUCUUUUUCCUAGAGGAAGAAUGCUGUUUUUAUGUCAACCAAACAGGAUUAGUAAGGGAUGCCACCCAAAAACUAGCCGAUUGGUACCAUAAGAUAUGACAACAGCUGUCUGAGUCAUGGGGCGCCUAGUCAAAAUGCUAAUUUGGGGCUCACAUCUCCUUCCUCUGGCCAGUCCACUAUUAAUUAUUAUACUUGCCUUGGCUUUUGGAUCAUGUUUGUUAAAUCUUUUAACCAGAUUUAUUUCUUCUUGCCUAGAGACCAUUAUGAUAAUGCAGCAGGGCCACCAGUCAGUUUCAGAUAAUGAUGUCAACCCCGGCCACCAAGAAGUAACCUUGUCUCCACUAGACAGAGCAGGGUGAGAGUUCUGUAAUCCCCAGUAGGUAGGGACUGUGCCCCAAGUCAGCAUGAAGUAGUUAUGGAAGAAAGACCAUGGGUCCCUCUGCCUCCCAGAAAGAUUUAUGGGGAUCACAUCUCUCAGGGGAAAAUGAGGCAGGAGAAUAGGGUCUGGAGACAGGGAACCUAAAGCUGAUUUGUGCUGAGUUUCUAGGAUUGAAUGAAAAGGAAAACCCCACCUCUCCACACCCAAGUAACAAAAGGAUCAGAGGCUACUCCCUUUGCACUGCAUUGCAGAUAAAAAAUGGAAAGUACCUCAGAUUGGUCCCCUCCCACAACCAAUCAGACUGGCCAUGGGCUACUCCUUCGUUUACAUAGGGUGUAACCAAGUAACCAAUGGGAAACCUCUAGCGGGUAUGUAAACCCCAGAAAAUUCUGUAACCAGUGCUCUUGAGCUGCUUGCUGGAGCCUACUCCCACUUUGUGAAGUGUACUUUCAUUUCAAUAAAUUUGUGCUUUCAUUGCUUCAUUCCUUCGUUGCUUUGUGUGUUUUGUCCAAUUCUUUGUUCAAAACACCAAGAACCUGGAUGACUCAUAGUCAAGAUCCUCUACCAGUAACACUUGAACUUUCUGGUUUGUCCUGAACAUCCCUCUUUCUUAAACAACCAGUCGUUUUAUUCUAGGCCAAAAUUUUACCAUACAAGAAUAUUUCUCAUAUACAAUUAUCUUCCUUCUAACUUUUCUUGCCAGAAAUACCUUUUAUAACUUUCUUUACAUUGCUUUUAUUUAACGAUUACUUUUACCUUGUUUCAUAAGUUUUAAAUAGCCUUGAAUUAGAUAAAAAAUUAUUUUCCUUUAAAUAAGAACACAUUUCUUUUUUUAGAAAAAUAUUUUUCUGUAAUUUUUUUUUUUUCUUGAGACAGAGUCUUGCUCUGUCACCCAGGCUGGAGUGCAGUGGCACAAUCUUGGCUCACUGCAAGUUCUGCCUCCCGGGUUCACGCCAUCCUCCUGCCUCAGCCUCCAGGGUAGCUGGGACUAGAGGUGCACACCACCACGCCUGGCUAAUUUUUUGUAUUUUUAGUAGAGACGGGGUUUCACUGUGUUAGCCAGGAUGAUCUCGAUCUCCUGACUAUGAUCUGUCUGCCUCAGCCUCCCAAAGUGCUGGGAUUACAGGUGUGAGCCACUGCACCUGGCCUAAUAUUUUAAAUUGGAAAUGACCCAGAUGUUUAAUGAGUACCUAUUAUUUAACUUAAUAUAAUUUUAGAUUCUAAAUUAUAUAACAAGUUUAAUCACAAGCAUUUAUUCCAUUACAUUUACCUAAUUAAUUUUUUUAAUAGUUUACUCAGAUUACUUUUGAAAACUGAGAGUUAUCAUUGAAAGUUAUUUCCCAGUUAAUCAUUUUUAUAGACUGCGAAUUUCAGGUUUUCCUAAGUAAGAAACUUAAGGUUAGAUAAAUGGUUUCUUUUUUUUUUUUUUUGCCAAUAACUUAGGAUUUAGCUGUUUUCAUUAACUAAACAAUAUUAAAUGCCUUAUUUAUGAAAUUUUACAUAGAGAUAAUUUUCCUUUGGGCUGCAUUCAUUGUUUUAUAACCCUCAUGCCAAAUUUUGGCAUCUAGCAGAGAUAAAUAUGAAACCACUGUUCCAAUAAAUUUAAACAAUAGUGUAUGUUGACAAUUCUGAAGCCAUUCUAAUUCUAAUUUUAUUUCAUGACUACUUUCAAAACCAGCUUAUUUAUUAAAGAUAUACUUAAGUCACAUGAACUUGAAAAGACAUUUGGCUUAAAAUCUCUAUUUUCUCUGAUACAGUAUUUGAUUUAAAGCCCCUUUUUUUCUUUAAGCCAAUUAAUUAGAGCACUUUUACAUGUUUCUAGUAGUGAAACAUCAUAUACAUGACACAUAAAUACAUAGAUGUAUUAUACAUGCAGAUAGAAGUAGAGCUUAUCAUUUCACAAGACCUCUUUUUUUCCUCCAGUUCUAGACUUCUAAUUUCUUGAUCUUAUUACCCUAGGCAGUUGUCAGCUAAGAUAACCCUAAAUUUGCAUAUUAAAGGAACUCUUAGAUGAAAAAAAUCAGAUAGUGAAAUUUACAUCUCAAGGUACAGAGAGAAAGAGUCUGGUGCUAGUGUUUCCAGAAUUUAUUCCUUCUGGUGGGUUCUUGGUCUCUCUGACUUCAAGAAAGAAGCCUCGGACCUUGCAGUGAGUGUUACAGCUCUUAAAGGUGGCGUGUCCAGGGUUGUUUGUUCCUUCUGGUGGGUUUGUGGUCUCACUUCAGGAAUGAAGCUGCAGACCCUCAUGGUGAGUGUUACAGCAAUUAAAGGUAGUGUGGACCCAAAGAGUGAGCAGCAGCAAGAUUUAUUAUGAAGAGCGAAAGAACAAAGCUUCCACAGCAUGGAAAGGGACCUGAGCGGGUUGAUGCUGCUGGCUGUGGUGACCAGCUUUUAUUCCCUUAUUCGUCCCCACCCACGUCCUGGUGAUUGGUCCAUUUUACAGAGCACUGAUUGGUCCAUUUCACAGAGUGCUGAUUGGUGCAUUUUACAGAGUGCUGAUUGGCGCAUUUACAAUCCUUUAGCUAGACACAGAGUGCUGAUUGGUGCAUUUUUACAGAGUGCUGAUUGGUGCAUUUACAAUCCUUUAGCCACAGAGUGCUGAUUGGUGCAUUUACAAUCCUUUAGCUAGACACAGAGCACUGAUUGGUGCAUUGUUAUAGAGUGCUGCUUGGUGCAUUUACAAUCCUUUAGCUAGACACAGAGCACUGAUUGGUGCAUUGUUAUAGAGUGCUGCUUGGUGCAUUUACAAUCCUUUAGCUAGACACAGAGCGCUGAUUGGUGCGUUUUUACAGAGUGCUGAUUGGUAUAUUUACAAUCCUUUAGCUAGACACAGAGCACUGAUUGGUGUGUUUAUAAUCCUCUAGCUAGACAGAAAAGUUCCCCAAGUCCCCACUCGACCCAGGAAGUCCAGCUGGUUUCACCUCUCACUAGUAGGAGGAGAUUAAAAACGAAUGCCAAAUCAAACAUAAAAUUAUAGAAAUCUAUCAUAGGAUUAUAUUAGAAGACUGACUUUAUUUAUAUAAGUAGUUCUAAAUUUAGUCUGCCUUUUAACUGGAUCUCUGAGCUCUGGGCAGAGCCCACACUGAAUUCCGGGUCUCCAAAAAGAGAAUUAUUAUGAGGCUAAGACCAUGUGAUGGUUUUAUGAGUGCACUCUCCUUUUUUUUUUUUUUUUAACAAAAAUGUUUCUCUAAGUGUCUGAACUACUCUCUUCCUAACUUUAAACACCCAACAGUAACCUCUGUUGUUACUCUUUGACUAAAAUAAUUAUUUUAGUUAAAAAAAAAAAAAAAAGAAGAAAGAAAGAAACCAGGUAACACUAUACAAAAGGAAGCAGUGUAAGAUCUGAGACGAAAUUUUCUCUUUUACACUCUUUGAGUUCCAUAAGGAGAAACAGAGGUUGCUCCCCAAAAGGGAGUCUAGUGCCUUCUCUGUUUUCUUUAAGGAAUCCCAGGGUGUUAGAAACUAUUUUAGAUUCCUCAUGCAGCACAGGGUAGCAAGAGAAAGAAGAGGCAGCAGAAGUAAAAUGAAGAAAACAGAAUUUGGUUGACGGAGAAGAAAAAAACUUUUGCUCAAAAAGUUGAAGGAGAGAAAUAAAAAAGGCCUUAACUACACACACACACACACACACACACACACACCUUGGAUGUUAGCUUUUAUUUAAGCUUUUAGCCACUAAGCUCCUUAAAAAAAAUACCUUCAAAUCUCAUUACUGUAUUUUAGCUAGUACAAACUGCUGAUAUUUCAAAAGUAAUGCAAAUACCAAACCAGAAAGGGCUUGAUUUAGGAACCAAACUUAGGCAGUCAUGAUGAAAAUAAGGACAGAAUCUUAGUUUCCAAACUGCAGUGCUGGGGGACAACCAUUGCUCUUUCAGUUUGGCCUGGUUAGCAAAAGAUGGCCUUGUUAUGUAAAUAAAGCCCCUAAGGUAGUCAAAAUCAAAAAAAAUUUUUUUUUCCUUUUGCUAGCUGUUUUUUUCUUUUUUCUUUUUCAGUUGCAGGAAUUUAGCCAAUUCAGAGGUCUUGUUCUCCAUAAUUUGGAAUUUUCCUUCGGAUUUGAUCAAGUUGGAUAGAGUUGGUCAAACCCAAUGGGAAAAAGAUGAAAACAACAAGAAACAGAAACAAACAGCAACAACAACAACAACAAAAACAAUGCAUUUAAUUAAAUGAAGAUGAGCUCAUGCUGGAGUAGGGUGGACUCUGAACCCAGUGGGACAAGCGUCCUUAUUAAGAAGAGGGAAAUCUGGACACACACAGAGCAGAGACCGCCGUGUGAAGAUGGAGGCAGAGAUCGGAGAGAUGCUGCCACACGCCACAAAUGCCUGGGGCUCCCAGAAACUACACGGAGCCUCCCCCAGCGGCUUCAGCAGGAGCAUGGCUCGGCCAACACUUUGAUCUUGGUCUUCCAGCCUCCAGAACGUUUUCCUAAAAUUCCCUUUUCCACUGGUGUGUGGUGCAAGAUGAGGCACAUUUUCCAUGGAUGGUGAACAGAGGGAGGAGCCUUUUGAUCACAACCAGGUCACCCCACUUCUAAGCCACUGUGCCUCCAGCCCCACAAGACUAAGGAGAGAGAGCGCAGCGUGGUGGAGAGUGAGCUGUGCUGGGACCAUUGUUUCCGUAACCUCGUUUUCUGUGUCCAGCUGACACACCUUCAAAGUGGCAUCAGGUCCUAAACUGUAGCUUGCAAUGUGCCUGUUUCCAGAAACCAAGGUGAAAGUGCUUUUAGACAGUGUUCCCAUGCAAGAGUCCCUUCCCAGCUUUUUUCUGGAAAUGCAUGUUUCUCUGAACUCUGAGUCCCAAGAAAAAUCACUUGAGACACCAAGAAAAUGGGGGAAGUGCUAAAAUUGUGUGGGAAUUCAAGCUUAACAAUAAACAUCAAGACAUUUUUGAUAAAAAUGAAUCCACUGACAUCGGGGAGGAGCAAGAGAACAGCACGCUGACACUGGGUCAGAGGCUAAGACCGACAUUUCUGGGAACCACUCCCGGAAGGGCACAGAGGAGACGCUUUCAGCCUCUCAUCAGCCAGCCUGGCCUGUAGCUGCUGCACGUUAUGAGUGUGUUCCUGGCAUGACUGCUUCUAACAAAGAAAUGCUGAGGCAGUGUCACGCUGGUGUCUGUCCUCCUUACAGAAUGCCUGAACAGUUCCAUUGACUCAAAGUGAAGAUCAAAAGAACCAAAUGACAGCAAUAGCCAAGUGUAAUCAUCAGUAACCCUGUGUUCUAUCCACAGUUAAAAGAAUAUUGGCAGAGAAACAGCCUUGGUGUUCCAGCAGGAGUGAAGAGGAACAGGAAAACGAGUGGCAGUAGCCCUGAAACAGCCACUUCUGGUGGUUGCCACUCACCUGAGGAUGUGAGUCUUGGCAGGCCAGGCUUCUGGGGACAGGGGGCCCAAGGCACAGUAGACGGUAAUUUUUAAGAUUAUGGAUGGACUGUUGGGUACUGGUUAAGAAUUCUGGGUUUGGCCAGGCACAGUGGCUCAUGCCUGUAAUCCCAGCACUUUGGGAGACUGAGGCCGGUGGAUCACGAGCUCAGGAAAUUGAGACCAUCCUGGCUAACACGGUGAAACCCUGUCUCUCCUAAAAAUACAAAAAAAUUAGCCAGGCUUGGUGAUGGGUGCCUGUAGUCCCAGCUACUCGGGAGGCUGAGGCAGGAGAAUGGUGUGAACCUGGGAGGCGGAGCUUGCAGUGAGUUGACAUUGUGCCACCACACUCCAGCCUGGGAGACAAAGCGAGACUCCAUCUCAGAAAAAAAAAAAAAAAGGAAUUCUGGGUUUGAAUCCUGCCUCUCCGUCUGCUAGGGAUAUGAUUUAGGGCAAGUUGCUUGAGCUCUUUGGGCCUCUCUUAUUACAUCUGCAUAAUAGAGGUGGUAUUGUUUGACUUCCAUUUGUGAAGUUUAAAUGAGAUUUUUUUAUUGUUGUUUUUAUGUUAAUCCCUAGUACAUGGCCUGCUGUAAACACCCAGGACACCCAGGAUAUGGUCAUUGCUCUUUGAUUUUCCUCAUCCCCAGUCUCAAGGGGAAGCCAGGACAAUGAGAACAGCCACUUGCCAUCAAGAGUCACUGAAAGGGCCUCAGGGUGGGAUGGUGGGGGGAUAAGAACCAUGAGAGAAGUCGGCACAAAGGAGUUAUGGGACAAAGCGUCCAAGAUAGGCAGAAAAGAAAAUGUAGCCAGUUGAUGGGGAAGAAAGGAAGUCAGAGGGCUUAGACACUGAGGGGGACAGAACAUCUCCAUGUGCAUUCUCAUCUCUGGUAGUCAGCAACAGGUAUCCACGGGGAGGGCCCUACAUCAUCUGCUACCCUGAAGGAUCUGGAGGUAAGAGGCUCUGGGGAGAGGUGCAGUGACCCUGCAGGCCAGCCCUCCAACCUCCUCCCACAGUGGACACGGCAUGCCCCUCUGCCAGCUGAGACAGCCCACACACACCCCAGCCUUAAUGAUUGUUCUCUCUACCUCUCCCCCACUCCUCCUCCACCUCCUCGUCUCUGCAUGCACCUCAGAGCCCAUGCCAAGAACUAGCAGUAGUCCUGGACCCGAGGUCCAUAAAAAUCAGUCAACUGAAUAACACCAUCAAAUCUUUGGUAAGAGUCCAGUGGGGUCCCCUUAUUCCACGCUGCCAAUCCUGGGCUCCAGUUUCCCCUUGGGGCCCUGAGGAAAGGAGCUGGGGGCACCUGGUGCCAAGGACAAAUAGGGAACUGGGGCGCCCAGGCCUCACCUAGAGGGACCCCAGAGCAUGCAGUAUGGCUCUUCUUUUGCUGCCCUCUUUGCCGACUCUCUCUUCUCCAGACACCCCUGGAGAGGGGUAUAAACACCUUUGUUUUAUCAACCCAAAGUGCCAUUGAUUUAAAGACACCUCUAUUUGAGAAAUGUUGGAAAUCGUAUGUCUUAGAAUUGAUCAAAUACACCAGAAUGUGAGCUGAAAAGAAAGCACCGGACUUAAAAUUUAGGAAGUCACUGGUGAUCUUACUUGGAGAAAUCCAUUUCAGUAGAUUGGUAAGUGCAGCACUAGAUGGCUGUGAGUUGGACAAAUGGGAGGUGUGGCAUUGUAUGCAGCAGAGAUGCAUGGAUGGUGUGCAGACCAGUAUUGCAAAAAAAUUGUGGUGAUGGGAAGAUGUGAUAAAGCUCAAGAUGUGGUACGAUUUAAAGGAAGGUAAUUUUUGUAUGAGGACAACUUGAGCCUUUGUCAAGGCUAAGGAGAAGAAGCUGAUGGAGAGACUAAAGGAGUAUAUGAGGCGCUGUGGAAAUAGAUUAGUGGAGGGGGCAUAGAUAUGAAAUUAGUCAGGGCUGGCCUUAAGUGUAACUUUUUAACUUAUUAGCUGACGUUGGACAUCUCACCUCUGUGAGCUCAGGAGGCUCACAAUCUCCUGAGCUUUGGUCUCCUCAAUUGUAAAAGUGAGUUAAUCAUUUCCCUACCUUAUGGAACUGUUGUUUGUAUUAAGUAAUUUAUCUACAUAAAGUUCUUGGAACAUUAUGGUCAGGACAUAGUAGAUACUCAAUAAAUGGGGUCUACUAUUAUGAAGUAGAUACUCAAUAAAUGGGAUCUACUAUUAUGAGACUACGAGAGACAGCAUAAUUGAUUAGCCACGUCCAGGUGGGAAGGGAUGGGAUCAAGCUCACAGGUUGAAGAAUUCACCCUGAAAAGGAAGAGAAAUCCCUCUGUGGUGGUUUGAAAAGAUGUCCACAGAUUCUUUGCUAUCCCUUCCUUCAAAAGAUAGGAUCUAAUUCCUCUCUUCUUGAGUGCAAGGGAUGCUUAAUGAAUUACCUCUAAAUAAUAGAAUGUGGUUGAAAUGACAAUGUUCAGCUUUUGAGAGUAAGUUGUAAAAGGCAUGUGACUUACUCCAUGCUUCUUCUCUUGGAUCACACAAUCUGGAGGAAGCCAGCUGACUUUUCACUUGAACACUCAAGCACUCUCUGGGGAGGUGCCGGGCAGUGAGGGACUGAGGCCUCCUGCCAACAGCCAUGUGAGUACACCAUCUUGGAAGUGAAGCCUCCACUCCUAGUCUAGCUUUCAGAUGACUGCAGCCCCAGCUGAUAUCUUGUCUGCAACCUCAUGAAAGACUCUGUACUAGAACCACUCAGCUAAGCAACCUCCAAAUUCCUGACUCACAGAAACUAUGAGAUAACACAUAUUUGUUCUUUUAAGCUGCUAAGUUUUAGGGUAAUUUGUUACAAAGGGUAACAUAUACAGAUUUUCUCUGAGGCAGAAGGAAAUCAGAGAAUGACAGGUGAAAGAUGAAAAGAUAGAAAGGAAAAAAGAUAAAUGUUUCUGUAACAUUAAAAUAUGAGGUAUGUUGUCUGCUGACAAUGAGGUGGCUUGGCAAGACUGCUAAGAGAUUGGAACAGCCAGGCAGAAAACAGGAAAGGGAAUUAACUUGGAACACAAAUAAGAUUGAGCCUACCUACCUUUAUGCUAAACCCAACUACAGAAAUCAUUUUGCUAAUGGAACCAGAUCAGACUCCACAUAAUGAGUCUUUAUCUCAAUCGUGAAAUUCAGAGGCUGGGGGCCUCUCUGAGCCUACCCCAGAGACCACCUUUGUGAGCAAACUGCUAAUGAGUGAAUUCAGGGAUGAGGAUGGCUCAGGCUUAUCUUGAAAAGUACUCCCUGAUGUCAAAAUGAUUUGCUACAGCUACAUCAAGUCUAGCACAUUAUUUAUGAAUAGGGAUAGACUACCAGAAGUAUUGUAAGAGAAUAAUCAACAAGUCUUAUGUAAUCUGCAGCAAACAUACUGCAGUAACAGGAAAAUCCACUGUCUUUCAAAUGACUCAAGUUUGCAUUAUUCCUUCCUGUUUGGACUGUCUCUCUCUCUCUCUCUCUCUCUCUCUCUCUCUCUCUCUCUCUCUCUCUCUCUCUCUCUCUCUCUCCUUCUCUCUCUCUCUUUCUCUCUCCCUUCCUUCCUGCCUCUCUCCACUCUGGCUGCUAGCAAGAGAGCCCUGGGAAUUCUCUGUGAUGUAGCCAGCCAACAGUUUUUAGGGUGGUGCUCCAGCACAUAAAAGGGACCAGGCCAGGACUGCCAUCUCCUAAAGUUAAUUUAAAGAAACUAAGCCCUGGUUUUUGUAAACCCCACAGGUCAACCAGGAAUUGAGUCACUGCAUCUCCCUGCAGAAUGACAAAUCAUGCUCUCCUUAGUAGCUUUACACCAGUUCUGUUUGCAAAUUGGGGAACUGAAACAUCACUGUAAAAUUGGUGCCUUUUGUAUCUUAUACAAUAGGGCUCAUUCAUUCAUUCACCCUUUCAUUCACUCAGCUGUUUAUUUAGCAACUGAUUAUUGAGUGCCUCUUCCAUGAGGGGACAGGCAUGUACUAAUUUUGGGAAUAAAGAGAUGUAUAUUGUGAUCCUAAGGAGAAGCAAAAUGUCCUGGCACAUAGUAAGCACUCAAUAAAUAUAUAUUGAAUAAAUAAUAAUUCCUGCUCUCUCUGGGCAUCAUAGUCUAGUAGGGGGAAGAGGCAUGUAAACAAAUAAAGUUGUUUUAGUACAAUAGUAAAGGAAUCGAUCAAGUACUAUACAUGUAGAAUACCAUAUCUACCUGGAAGUUAGGGAUGAUUUGAUAGAAGAGGUAACAUUUGCUUGAUGUUGAAGAACAAAUAUGAGUUUUCCAGGAAUGGAAAGUAGGAAAGGUCUUUGCAGGCAGACCAAAAUUAUUAUACUCAUAGGUCUUAUUGUCCGCGGGAUUGGUUUUGUCACUCCUGUCUAAUCCUAACUUGCAAAUAUAAAUAUUUAUCAAUAUUUCCCUGGAUUUUAAUUGUUUUUGUGUUUGUUUCCAAGACAGUGAUAGGUGGUCAAAGUUAGAUGCAAAAUAACUCUACAAAAGAGAUUAUUUUUUACAAAGUAGAUGACAUUAAUUCAAGAAAAAAAGUAUUUUAAGUUUCUUCCUGAAAGAACCUUUUAAUUUCUUGUAUUUUCUAGGCCAGGUGGAAGAUAUUCUUCCUAAAAAAUGGUCUUCAGAUUACCUCUAAACCUUCCUCUUUGACACCUGGCUGAGAACCCAGAAAACACCCCCUGUUCCAUAGCAGACCAGUGUUUACUGUUAUUUGCCUCUUUAGAGCAGUUCAGAGGACCAUCAGCUACCAUACCCACUAAACGAAAAUGGCAAAAGGACUUGUAAUGGCCAAAUGCAGCAAUAUAAUUUGUUAUUAUCAAUUCACUAGUGAUUUGAAAUAUUGAGAAAAUUCCCAAUUGAAUGACAGCAUGGAAAAUCACAUUACAUCAGGGAAUAGUAUUUUCUAGGCCACCAGAUUUCUCUAAAUUGGAAUUUGGAAAUAAAUUUUAUUUGCAGCAAGAAACAUGUAUUAAUACUGACACUUACUAAAAUGUUUUAAUGAGUUAGAGCAAGCAUUUUGUGUCAAGAUACUACUGGUCUAACAAGGCCUGCCACUAUUAUUGAUGCCCAUUAUGUACUUUUCCGUGAAGUUGUCUAACCUGUUCUAUUAAACCCGUAAACUGCUUUGACAAUCGUAAAAGAGACAAAAAGGAACAAAGUAAGAAUGAUGGGAAAUAGAAAGCCAAGGCACCCAAUUUUCUUCUAGUUUAAUCAAUAAUUUGGGGCUCUAUCACAUUUGCUCUCAGCCUUACAGUCUGAUCCUUAUUUUUUGCCAGGCUGCAACCCUCACUGCAUUUAAUAGAGGUUGAUGGAUAUUUUUAUAGCCCUGCAGUUUCAAACUGAUUAUCAGGUGUUUAACCAGCAAAGCCAUGCAAUAUUUGUAUAAAUCAAUCCUGUAAUGAAAGGUUAUCACCCACAAACCCAGUCAGUGUCAAACCAGAACAAGGUAAAGAUUUGGAAUGCUUCCCUUUCUGGAUAACACACUAUUGCUUAUCUUCAAUUUUCUGGAUAAUUUAGGAUUUUAUUGAAUAUGAUUCUUCAAGAACUGAACGAUCAUCCUAAACAAAUCAAAGUCACUGUAUCAUCACAGAGCAGCAUUUCCCACACUCUCAGUAAAACGCUGUCUACAUCAAAGGGGUUCUGUGACCCAGGAGGUUUUGGAAACUCAGGAUUAAACAGAGCUCCACAGGUUCCCUUGCUACAGGCAUUCUCAGCUGCCUUCAUAAGGCGAUGUGCAUUGUGAAUCUCUAAGUGGAAAUAUGGAAUGCAGUGUUUUCCAGGUCACUGGACCACAGAAGCCUUGUUUGAGAAUCACCUAGUGGCCCCAGUGGCCCACAGAUCAUAUUUUGGGAAAUGUUGCUAUUUGAGUAUAAUUGUUAUUCUUGAACACCCCAAAUUGUUUUGGUGUGGGAUUUUUUGUUUUGCUUUGUUUUUGUUUUUGUUUUGAGACAGGGUGUCACUCUAUCACCCAGGCUGGAGUGCAGUGGUGCGAUCACUGCUCACCACAGCCUCGAUCACCUGGGCUCUGGUGAUCCUCCUGUCUCAGCCUCCCAAGUAGCUGGAACUACAGGCAUGCAUUACCAUGCCUGGUUCAUUGUUUUGUAUUUUUUGUAGAGACUGGGUUUUGCCAUGUUGCACAGGCUGGUCUUGAAGUCCUGAGCUCAAGCAAUCCAUUUGCCUGAGCCUCCCAAAGUGCUGGGGUUACCGGAGUGAGCCACUGCGCCUGGCUAGGUUUCUCAUUUUUUUUUAAAGGUGAAAUUCACAUAACAUAAAAUUAACGAUUUUAAUGUGAACAAUUCAGUGGCAUGUAGUCCAUUCACAUUGUUGUGCAUCCACCACUUCUAUCUAGUAUUAAAGCAUUCCAUCUCCCCAAAAUAAAACUCUGUACCUGAUGAGUAGUUAAUUUCCUAUUCCCUCUUUCCCCUAGCCCCUAGUAACUACCAAUCAGCUUUCUAUUCCUAUGGGUCUACCUAUUCUGCAUAUUUCAUAUAAAUUUAAUCAACCAGUAUGUGACCUUUCAUGUCUGGUUUCUUUCUAAUAGCAGCAUGCUUUUUAGUUUCAUCUACAUUGUGGCAUACACCUGUGCUUCGAUUCUCUUUAUGGCUGCAUGACGUUCCAUUGUAUGGAUAGACCACAUUUGUUUGUCCAUUCACCCAUUGACGGUCAUUUGUUUUCACCUUUGGACCAUUGUGAAUAGUGCUGCUAUGAAGACUCUUGUCCCAGUAUUUUGUUUCCAAUUUGUUUGGGGAUACACCUAGGUGUGGAAUUGCUGGGUUAGAGAAUUCAUCUUGCCACUACAAUUUUGUGGCUUCCUAAGGCAAAUUGAAUAGUUCGUAUGACUUAGCUAGCUUGAGACAUCAUUUUUAAUACCUUUUGUUGUUGUUGUUGUUUUGUUUUGUUUUUUCAGAGAUGGAGUCUCGUUCUGUCACCCAGGCUGGAGUGCAGUGGCGCAAUCUCGGCUCGCUGCAAGCUCUGCCUCCCGGAUUCCCGCCAUUCUCCUGCCUCAGCCUCCCUAGUAGCUGGGACUACAGGCGCCCCCCACCAUGCCCGGCUAAUUUUUGAUAUUUUUAGUAGAGACAGGGUUUCACUGUGUUAGCCAGGAUGGUCUCGAUCUCCUGACCUCGUGAUCCACCUGCCUCGGCCUCCCAAAGUGCUGGGAUUACAUGUGUGAGCCACCACACCCGGCCCCAUUUUUAAUACGUUUUUUAAAGAUGCAUAUAAAAUGCAUUACCCUCUGGAAGAUUCCAGUAACUUACUGAAGCAAGUUUCUCCUCUACAUAUACCUAUUUCUGCCAUGAGUAACUGUUCAUUUUCAGUGAGUCAUUUGAGUUUCUGUUAUUCAGGUAUACAGAGUUCCUGUUGUCUUUUUAGUCAACAAAGUUUAACAAAGACCAUAAUAAAGAUGGCUUUCAGCAGCUCUGUUAUUGGGAAGGGUUGUAUUCAUGUGAAGAAAGAAAUUAUUUUAUUUUAUUUUUAAGUUUUAGUAGAGGGGGGGUUUUGCUAUGUUGGUUAGGCUGGUCUCGAACUCCCAUCCUCAAGUGAUCCACCUGCCUCGGUCUCUCAAAGUGCUGGGAUUACGGGCAUGAGCCACUGUGCCUGGACAGUAAUAAUAUUUUUUAAAAGGCUGACAUCAGCAGAUCAGCUAUUCUGGAAAGAUUUUUAAACACUCAGAGGUUUUUUUGUGUUUGUUUGUUUUCUUUUCUUUUCUUUUUUAGAGGCAGGGUCUUGCUCUGUCGCCCAGGCUAAGGUGGAGUGGUGCAAUCAUAGCUCACUACAGCCUCAAACUCCUGGGCUCAAACAAUCCUCACACCUUUCAUACCUUAGGCCCCUGAGUAGCUGGGUGGGACUACAGGCAUGCAUCACCAUGCUUGGCUAAUUUUUAAUUUUGUAUAGGUGGGGUCUUGCCAUUUGCCCAGGCUGGUGUCAAACUCCUCAAGUAAUCCUUCUGCCUCGGCCUCCUAAAGUGCCAGGAUUAUAGGCCUGAGCCACUACACACAGCCCGGAGUUUUUAAAAAAUACUCAAUUAAAAUGCUUCAUUUAAGUGUAUGUCUCUAAGAAAAUUUAAUAAUUGAUUAAAUAUUGUUGAAUAGACUGAAAGCACAACAUCCAAGCACAUGAAUUAAGCAAAUAAUGCAAGCAUAGCUCCCACACUCCACAAAUGUUUUCUAGUCAUUCCAAAGCCAUUCUUUUUAGAGGAUCUUUAAGAAAAUGCUUGGCUCUCAUCCGAUUAUUAUACAAGAGAUUAAGAAUUUACUGAGUUUACAGUUCUUUCUAUGAAGGAAAGAAUGAGGUCUACACCCAAAAGAAACAUUGGGAUUUUCAUUUAAGUAAAGCUGUAUUCUCAUUUAAAAUGGUACUAGUGCUCUUGUUGGCAACAGACACAUGAAGCAAAAUUUUCCUUUUACAUUUGAAUUUCAACUGCAUUUAAAGUGUUAUAAAUACCAUGACUACAUAAGCUAAGGGAAUGAAUGUAUUAACUCUGAUGCAGUCUGUCAGGUUUUAACAGUAGUGAAUCUUGGGAUCGGUACAUCUCAUUCCAGUAUAGCUAUGGUAAAUGACAUAGAGAUCGCUGAAUUGUUGUAUUUCCAGGACUUUUCAAAAGUGACUAUUAAGGUUGGCUGUGGGAUCUAGCAGGUUAUUGUCCUAGAACACUUGUGGCCUUCUCCUAAAACAGACUGGGAAAAUUCUGGUUCUUUAUUCACUGACAUCUCAAAGGGCAAAGAGGGAGGCACCAUGACAUUCUGCAGUUGCAGGCCUCUCAGGAUGAGACUGUAUUUUUCCAUACAGCAAUGUUGAUUUGAUCUGGCCUAAUUCUCCGAUUGAUGUGGUGAGAGGCAGGACUACUUGGGAAUGUAUUCACUGUGCCUGAUUUCUCUCUGGGCAAUUUAUUUGGUCAUCAAUCUUUUUAUCCUCCUGACAUUUGAUUUCUAGAUAUUGGCCCAAAUUCCAUAAGAUAGGAAUUUUUGUUCUGAAUUUUAAUAACAUAUGUAUUUUAAUUAAUAGUAUAUUUUAAAAUAAAAGUAACACGACAAAAAGAAAAAACAAAGACAAAAAAGUAACCUAAGAAUAUAUGCUCAAAAGUGCCAAAAAUACAAAAGACUACAGAAUUUUUAAAAUAGAAGCUUUUUGUUCAACUUGCUGCUCUUCUUCCCACUUCUUCAAUUCCAUUUCUUUUCCUAUAGGUGAUCAUGGCUAACAUUUUGGUGUUUGUCUUUCCAAAGUGUAUAGUUAUAGAUCUGAAUAGAAAUGUAGAUACAGAGAUAUCAAAGAUGAGCAUGGGCUAAGCACUCAACAAUAAACUACGUUGGGUCUAUUUUUCAAAGUUACUCUCAAAACAAGAAUACAGAUUGUCCAUUAAACAUACUGGAAUUUUAAUACAUUCUUUUUUUUCCCCCAGAACAUUUCUGAUUUCAUAUAUUCUGGCAUGUUUCCUGCCAUGUGGCAAACCAUAAGCUGAAAGAGAUAUAAAUAUAAAUAACACUAUGUCUAACAAAAUUUGCUCAGAAUAUGCUAAAGCAUUAGUAUAAAUGUCUACAUCUUAAGUCAGAGCUAAAGAACAAGUUUCUCUCAGUAAAUCAAGGAAAGCCAGGGGAAAAGACCAUAGAGAAAAAGGAUAUGGGUGCCUGUAUGAAGCAGGGGAGGUUUUUGACUCCAGUGCACCUAAUUAGCAAAUAAGUAUCAUUCAUCUGUGCUGUGGUAAGCACUGCAGUAUGCAUAAAUAGAAGGUGUGAUACCUGCCUCCAAAGGGCUUACCAUCUACUGAGAAAUCCGACUAAUCAGACAGGAAAGACUCAGAUAAUGAAGGCUUGCAUAAGAGCCUGAAUCUGAUAAGGUAAUGAACAAAAGACAGCCUCUACAGGUUUUUAUAGAUAGAAAUGAGAUGAUAAAAUCAAAUUUAAACAAUGUAUCUUAACUCCCUUCCGGCCUUUCAUUUCCAUUCCAUGAAUGCUACCCUGGCUUAGGCUUUCAUGACUUUGCCUAUUUGCAGUGACCUUGUAUUCAGCACUCUGCCAUCUCUCCCACUACUUCCUCCCAAGCCAUCCUGAACACAGGCCACAUGUUUGAUUUUCUAAUCGUACACAAGGGAACGUCUCUGCUCAAAAGCCAAAAAUGACUCUUCUUUGGCCACCAAAUAAUCUGAACUUUUUGGUGUGAAACUCAAGGCCCUGCCAGAAACAAUAUUAAUCUCCUUCCAGACUGUCUCCCAUUUCCUAAUAUUAACCCCUUGCUCUGUUGAAAUUGAAGCCAUUUUCCAAAGCCACCUCUGUGAUGUCCUUAUGUAAUUCCCGCCCUCUUCUUGUCCUCCCCUGCAACCCUAUCUCCAUAGAAAAGCAGUCAGAAAAACCACCCUAGGAAUUGAUGCAGUAAUCCAGGAGUGAGAUGAGGAUGGGAGGGAGAGGGUGAGCAUGUGGGGAUGAGGAGGAGGGUGGGACACAGGGAGUAGCCACAGACCUUAAUGACUGAUGGCAGAUAGGGUGUGAAGGAGAGAGGUGAGUCAAAGGUAACUUAUUUUCGGUUUUAGGCAACAAAUACAAAUCUUUCUCAAUAACUACUCAUCCCACAUCCUUGUGGCUAUUGGAGGUUGAUAUUUAUUUCAUACUGCCUGUAUAACCUGGGACCAUAUAUAAUUAAUGAUGAUUACUCUGUAUUCUAGAUCACGAAUAUAUAUAUCUAUAUAAAUAUAUACAAAUAUAUAAAUACAAAUAUAUAUAUAUAUAUAUAUAUAUUUACCUUAAUGCAGGCACAACCAAAUACUUUACUUUUGGAGCCAGAUGUCUUUAAGAUACACUGUAAACCAUUAAUAGAUACAUUGAAUAAGAAUCUUUAUUUCAUUCCCAGUGUGGUUUGGAGUAUAAGACUUAGGAAAGUGUCUGUGAAACCUACAGUGAGAAAUUCCACUGGGUCUUGACAGCUGGAGUGAGCACUCAAAUGUGCCCAGCACUUUUCUCUAGCUCCCUUCUCUGCUUGAGCUGUGGUCUGCUUUCUCCUUCUCUGUAGCUCAGAUCAUCUUCCUCCACUUCUCAGCCCACAUGUCUAACGUGGCUGGGACCAGCUCAGAGUGUUUCAAAUGUGUAGGUGCUCGGAGAGAGAGAGACCCAACCCUCUUAGACUCAGGUACACAUUCUCAGGGAAGAAAACUGGAACCAGUAGAAAUAUCAGAUCCCUAUGUUCCCUGACGAGUGCUUCCUUCUCUAAGAAGAAAAACCUACUAAGAAGACAAAUUACAGCUGGAAGGUUGUUUGGUAAGCGUGGAAUCACCUAUCUAAUCUCCCAGCAAGUCUUAAUUGCUCUACCAUAAAAAAAAAGCAACCCAAAUCCAUCCUUUUCCCAGCUUCACUCCCUAGUCCAAAGCCACCAUCCACCCUUGUCUAAACCUCUGCAGGACUGUCUUUGCUUAUUUCUUUUCUUUUCUUUUUCUUUUUCUUUUUUUUAAGCGGAGUCUCACUCUGUCACCCAGGCUGGAGUGCAGUGGCGCGAUCUCGGCUCACUGCAAGCUCUGCCUCCCGGGUUCACGCCAUUCUCCUGCCUCAGCCUCCCGAGUAGCUGGGAGUACAGGCGCCCGCCACCAUGCCCAGCUAAUUUUUUUGUAUUUUUAGUAGAGAUGGGGUUUCACUGUGUUAGCCAGAAUGGUCUCCAUCUUCUGACCUCGUAAUCCACCCACCUCAGUCUCCCAAAGUGCUGGGAUUACAGGCGUGAGCCACCGCACCUGGCCCUGUCUUUUCUAAUUUCUUAACUAUCAUUUCUAUCCCCUUAGAAUUGAUUCUCCACUCAGCAUGCAGAAUUAUCCCUUUGAAAAUCAGAUUAUAUUCCUACCUAAACCACCCCCAAUAGCUUGUGACCUCUUAGAAUCUAGAUUCCUUAACAUGGCCUCAAGGGCCCACGUGACCCAGCCCCUGCCUGUCUCUCUACCUCAUCUCCUACUGCUCCUGCUUUUGUUCCUUCCACUCUAAUCACUUGACCUCCUGACCUCAGUCAUGCUAAUAAACUCAUGCCUCAUUUAGAUUUAUUUUCCUAGUGGAAGAAAAUGCAUUGAUCUGUGAACACAAAUACAUGGUUUAUCUGUUACAGUUCUCAUUGCAUGUCAACAAACUGACAUUCUGAUGUGUACAUCCAUCUCUUAUGAGUCUGCUUAGUGUGAAUCUGCCCCCUCUGGUAGUACUGACAAGAUUGUGUUUCUCAGCCCACAGAGCUAAGACACAGACUCAUGAGACCCAGUCUCUGUCUAUACCACUAGAGUUCUACUGCCCCUGAAUGGCAUUGCCUGCACAGACAGCUGGCCUUCCUCAGCAGACACACAGCCUUUGUACCAUAUAACUCUUCAGACUUGCUAUGAUGUACCAAUGUCUUUCCUUGAAAUGCUCUUCUGAAAAUGAUAAAUGCUAAAACUGAUUACAAUGCUAUUGAAAGUGGAUGAGCAAGUUGAUCUGCUGAGAUGUGAAAACAAAUUCUAUUUUAAUUUUUAAUCUAAAAUAUUAGAAAGAAUUUUGUUUCCUAUACUUUGCUAUAUUUAGUAAAUAUACACUAAUAUAAGAAUUUUGCUUUACUAAAACAGUAGAACCCUCAGUUAGCCAGGCAGUCAUCAUCUGUCACAUAAAAGGUGUCCUGAGGAGGAAUGGGAGUGCCUCCCCUGGGGAAGAGGCUGAUGGUGGCUCUGGCUCUCAGUCAGUCGCUUUCCUUAUCUUGGUAUUUACUGUCAUUUAUCUGGGCUUAGCUAAACAGAUUUAUAGAGAAUUAACUCUCACAAAAUGGGAACAUAAUUUAAAAGAUUUCUGCAAAGAAUUGGACAGGAACUCUUGUCAAAAUUGUAAGCAGAAGAAAAGAAAAAAAGAAAGGGACAGAGCCGACAUUUCUCAUACUUCUGGUACAAGCUCCUCAUCACAUUCAUUGUGUUGUAAAAAUAAUGGUGAUCUAGUAACAUCUGACAAGGUCAGCCAAAAUGAUACAUAUAAGAAUUUAGCUCUCCACCUAGGAGGGCUAUUAGCAAUAAAAUUUCCAUCUACUAUAACUUAUAAUUAACUUUGACCUAUAUGUGUAUUUCCCUUGAGAUUGGCCAAUGAUUGAUUGAAACUACCACAAUUAAUGACAGAUAAAAUAGCUUUUUUAUUUUAAAAUUUCUAUUUUGUGGGUAUUAUAGAAUGUAUUUUAUAUAUUAAUAUACAUAUAAUUAUAUACUAUUAUAAUCAUAUAUUAAUAUUAACAUAUAAUUGUGUGUGUUCAAAAAUUUUUAAUGGCACAAUCAAAAAACUUUAAAGACCACUGGAUUAAAAGAUGGUAUUUAGGGCCCAGCACAAUGACUCAAGUCUGUAGUCUCAGCACUUUGGGAAGCUGAGGUGAGGGGAUCGCUUGAGCCCAGGAGAUCAAGACCAGCCAUGGGCAAUAUGGCAAAACCCCAUCUCUACAAAAAAUACAAAAAUUAGCCAGAUGUGUUGCAACUGUAGUCCCAGCUAUUCAAGAAACUGAAGUGGGAAGAUCACUUGAGCCUGCAAGGUCGACGCUGCAGUGAGCCAUGAUUGCACCACUCCAGCCUGGGAGACAGAGCAAGGCCUUGCUUCAAAAAAUAAAAAUAAAAGAUGACAUUAAGAAGAAAUCUGAUCUCAUUGUCUUUAUUAUCAAGUGAUUGAAGGCUAUAAUCAUUAUUUAAUAAUCUUGUAGAUAAUGAUUGUACUUGAAAGUGGGC
rnacentral:lncRNA from 1 species